UACGUAGGGGCCUAGCGUUGUCCGGAUUUAUUGGGCGUAAAGAGCUCGUAGGCGGUUUGUCGCGUCUGCUGUGAAAACCCGAGGCUCAACCUCGGGCCUGCAGUGGGUACGGGCAGACUAGAGUGCGGUAGGGGAGAUUGGAAUUCCUGGUGUAGCGGUGGAAUGCGCAGAUAUCAGGAAGAACACCCGUGGCGAAGGCGGUUCUCUGGGACGGUACUGACGCUGAGACGCGAAAGCGUGGGGAGCGAACAGG
rnacentral:rRNA from 1 species